UUAAGCGACUAAGCGUACACGGUGGAUGCCCUGGCAGUCAGAGGCGAUGAAGGACGUGCUAAUCUGCGAUAAGCGUCGGUGAGGUGAUAUGAACCGUUAUAACCGGCGAUUUCCGAAUGGGGAAACCCAGUGUGUUUCGACACACUAUCAUUAACUGAAUCCAUAGGUUAAUGAGGCGAACCGGGGGAACUGAAACAUCUAAGUACCCCGAGGAAAAGAAAUCAACCGAGAUUCCCCCAGUAGCGGCGAGCGAACGGGGAGGAGCCCAGAGCCUGAAUCAGUGUGUGUGUUAGUGGAAGCGUCUGGAAAGGCGUGCGAUACAGGGUGACAGCCCCGUACACAAAAAUGCACAUAUUGUGAGCUCGAUGAGUAGGGCGGGACACGUGGUAUCCUGUCUGAAUAUGGGGGGACCAUCCUCCAAGGCUAAAUACUCCUGACUGACCGAUAGUGAACCAGUACCGUGAGGGAAAGGCGAAAAGAACCCCGGCGAGGGGAGUGAAAAAGAACCUGAAACCGUGUACGUACAAGCAGUGGGAGCCUCUUAAUGGGGUGACUGCGUACCUUUUGUAUAAUGGGUCAGCGACUUAUAUUCUGUAGCAAGGUUAACCGAAUAGGGGAGCCGAAGGGAAACCGAGUCUUAACUGGGCGUUAAGUUGCAGGGUAUAGACCCGAAACCCGGUGAUCUAGCCAUGGGCAGGUUGAAGGUUGGGUAACACUAACUGGAGGACCGAACCGACUAAUGUUGAAAAAUUAGCGGAUGACUUGUGGCUGGGGGUGAAAGGCCAAUCAAACCGGGAGAUAGCUGGUUCUCCCCGAAAGCUAUUUAGGUAGCGCCUCGUGAAUUCAUCUCCGGGGGUAGAGCACUGUUUCGGCAAGGGGGUCAUCCCGACUUACCAACCCGAUGCAAACUGCGAAUACCGGAGAAUGUUAUCACGGGAGACACACGGCGGGUGCUAACGUCCGUCGUGAAGAGGGAAACAACCCAGACCGCCAGCUAAGGUCCCAAAGUCAUGGUUAAGUGGGAAACGAUGUGGGAAGGCCCAGACAGCCAGGAUGUUGGCUUAGAAGCAGCCAUCAUUUAAAGAAAGCGUAAUAGCUCACUGGUCGAGUCGGCCUGCGCGGAAGAUGUAACGGGGCUAAACCAUGCACCGAAGCUGCGGCAGCGACACUAUGUGUUGUUGGGUAGGGGAGCGUUCUGUAAGCCUGUGAAGGUGGCCUGUGAGGGUUGCUGGAGGUAUCAGAAGUGCGAAUGCUGACAUAAGUAACGAUAAAGCGGGUGAAAAGCCCGCUCGCCGGAAGACCAAGGGUUCCUGUCCAACGUUAAUCGGGGCAGGGUGAGUCGACCCCUAAGGCGAGGCCGAAAGGCGUAGUCGAUGGGAAACAGGUUAAUAUUCCUGUACUUGGUGUUACUGCGAAGGGGGGACGGAGAAGGCUAUGUUGGCCGGGCGACGGUUGUCCCGGUUUAAGCGUGUAGGCUGGUUUUCCAGGCAAAUCCGGAAAACCAAGGCUGAGGCGUGAUGACGAGGCACUACGGUGCUGAAGCGACAAAUGCCCUGCUUCCAGGAAAAGCCUCUAAGCAUCAGGUAACAUCAAAUCGUACCCCAAACCGACACAGGUGGUCAGGUAGAGAAUACCAAGGCGCUUGAGAGAACUCGGGUGAAGGAACUAGGCAAAAUGGUGCCGUAACUUCGGGAGAAGGCACGCUGAUAUGUAGGUGAAGUCCCUCGCGGAUGGAGCUGAAAUCAGUCGAAGAUACCAGCUGGCUGCAACUGUUUAUUAAAAACACAGCACUGUGCAAACACGAAAGUGGACGUAUACGGUGUGACGCCUGCCCGGUGCCGGAAGGUUAAUUGAUGGGGUUAGCGGCAACGCGAAGCUCUUGAUCGAAGCCCCGGUAAACGGCGGCCGUAACUAUAACGGUCCUAAGGUAGCGAAAUUCCUUGUCGGGUAAGUUCCGACCUGCACGAAUGGCGUAAUGAUGGCCAGGCUGUCUCCACCCGAGACUCAGUGAAAUUGAACUCGCUGUGAAGAUGCAGUGUACCCGCGGCAAGACGGAAAGACCCCGUGAACCUUUACUAUAGCUUGACACUGAACAUUGAGCCUUGAUGUGUAGGAUAGGUGGGAGGCUUUGAAGUGUGGACGCCAGUCUGCAUGGAGCCGACCUUGAAAUACCACCCUUUAAUGUUUGAUGUUCUAACGUUGGCCCGUAAUCCGGGUUGCGGACAGUGUCUGGUGGGUAGUUUGACUGGGGCGGUCUCCUCCUAAAGAGUAACGGAGGAGCACGAAGGUUGGCUAAUCCUGGUCGGACAUCAGGAGGUUAGUGCAAUGGCAUAAGCCAGCUUGACUGCGAGCGUGACGGCGCGAGCAGGUGCGAAAGCAGGUCAUAGUGAUCCGGUGGUUCUGAAUGGAAGGGCCAUCGCUCAACGGAUAAAAGGUACUCCGGGGAUAACAGGCUGAUACCGCCCAAGAGUUCAUAUCGACGGCGGUGUUUGGCACCUCGAUGUCGGCUCAUCACAUCCUGGGGCUGAAGUAGGUCCCAAGGGUAUGGCUGUUCGCCAUUUAAAGUGGUACGCGAGCUGGGUUUAGAACGUCGUGAGACAGUUCGGUCCCUAUCUGCCGUGGGCGCUGGAGAACUGAGGGGGGCUGCUCCUAGUACGAGAGGACCGGAGUGGACGCAUCACUGGUGUUCGGGUUGUCAUGCCAAUGGCACUGCCCGGUAGCUAAAUGCGGAAGAGAUAAGUGCUGAAAGCAUCUAAGCACGAAACUUGCCCCGAGAUGAGUUCUCCCUGACUCCUUGAGAGUCCUGAAGGAACGUUGAAGACGACGACGUUGAUAGGCCGGGUGUGUAAGCGCAGCGAUGCGUUGAGCUAACCGGUACUAAUGAACCGUGAGGCUUAACCUU
rnacentral:rRNA from 6 species